rnacentral:rRNA from 1 species
UACGUAGGGUGCAGGCGUUAAUCGGAAUUACUGGGCGUAAAGCGUGCGCAGGCGGCUCCUUAAGUCAGAUGUGAAAGCCCCGGGCUUAACCUGGGAACUGCGUUUGAAACUGGGGAGCUAGAGUGUAGAAGAGGGGGGUGGAAUUCCAGGUGUAGCAGCGAAAUGCGUAGAGAUCUGGAGGAACACCGAUGGCGAAGGCAGCCCCCUGGGCUAACACUGACGCUCAUGCACGAAAGCGUGGGGAGCAAACAGG